rnacentral:rRNA from 1 species
CGUGGCUUUCGGAGCUAACGAUAUGCAAGUCGAGCGGAACGAGUUAUCUGAACCUUCGGUAGAAGGAACGAUAACGGCGUCGAGCGAAUUGACGGGUGAGUAAUGCCGCAGGAAAUUGCCCUGCAUGUGGGGGAUAACCAGAUGCAACGCGAAGAGCCUUACCUACUCUUGACAUACCAUGCCUACGGGCCAAAGAUGGAUUGGUGGACCUUCGGGAACUCUCGCGUCAGGAUGCUGCAUAGGCUGUCGAUUAGCUAGUGUUGUGAAAUGUAAGGGUUAAGUCCCGCAACGAGCGACGAUCCCUUAUCCUUGUUUGCCAGCGAGUAAUGAUCAGCCACUCCAGGGAGACUGAGACACGGUCCAGACUCCUACGGGAGGCAGCAGUGGGGACGACGUCAAGUGCAUCAAUGGGCGCUUAGCCUGAUGCAGGGCAUGCACACGUGUGUGACAGAAGGCGCAUACAGAGGUUGUAAAGCCAACUUGCGAGUCGUGAGCGAAGGUAGUGUAGUUAAUAGCUGCAUUAUUUGACGUUAGCGAUCAGAAGUCUGCAACGGCUAACUCCGUGCCAGCAGCCGCGGUAAUACGCUAGGGUGCGAGCGUUAAUCGGAAUUACUGGGCGUAAUAGCGCAUGCAGGUGGUUUGUUAAGUCAGAUGUGAAAGCCCGGGGCUCACACCAUCGGAAUUUGCAUUUGAAACUGGCAGANUAGAGUACUGUANAGGGGGGUAGAAUUUCAGGUGUAGCGGUGAAAUGNGUAGAGANCUGANGGANUACCNNUNGCNAAGGNGGCCCCCNU